GUUCCUAAGUUCCAACAUGAUGAGGGCCCUAAGUGCCUAAGUUCCAACAUGAUGAGGGCCCUAAGUGCCUAAGUUCCAACAUGAUGAGGGCCCUAAGUGCCUAAGUUCCAACAUGAUGAGGGGCUGCAGAGCUUCUGUGUUUGCCGGUCCUCCCAACGAUCAAGGGGAAUGUGAAGCCCCAAAGAAUGUGGGAGAACAUUCCAGGUGAAGAAGAUAAGAAGUUGGUUGUUGUGGCUAUGGGCAACAGUUUACAAGAGGGUCCCACAUCUAACCUUCUUCAGAAGGUUAGAAGCUGGAGAAAUCACUGCAACUAAGUGAUAUUACCGACUUUGGAUCCCUCAGGCGGUACUGCAUCAAAAAGCCACAUCGACGUGUAAUGGAUAUCACCACAUGGGCUCAGGAACACUUCAGAAAACCACUGACAGUAACUACAGUUGGCCGCUAUAUCUGCAAGUGCAAGGUAAAACUCUUUAUGUGCAAAGCCACAGCCAUGUAUCAACAACACCCAGAAACGCCGCCAGCUUUGCUGGGCCCAAGCUCAUCUAAGAUGGACUGAUGCAAAGUGAAAAAGUGUUCUGUGGUCUGACAAGUCCACAUUUCAAAUUGUUUUGGGAGAUAUUCGAUCUCAUGUCAUCCGGACUAAAGGGGAAGCGAACCAUCUAGACUGUUAUGGAUGCAAAGUUGAAAAGCCAGCAUCUGUGAUGGUAUGGGGGUGCAUUAGGGCCCAAGGCAUGGGUAACUUACAUAUCUGUGAAGGCACCAUUAAUGCUGAAAGGUACAUACAGGUUUUGGAACAACAUAUGCAGUCUUUUUCAUGGACGCCCCUGCUUAUUUCAGCAAGACAAUGCCAAGCCAAAUUCAGCACGUAUUCCAACAGCGUGGCUUCGUAAAAAAAAAAAGACUGCGGGUACUUUCCUGGCCCGCCUGCAGUCAAGACCUGUCUCCCAUGGAAAAUGUGCGGCGCAUUAUGAAGUGUAAAAUACGACAGCGGAGACCCCGGAUUGUUGAACGACUGAAGCUCUACAUAAAACAAGAAUGGGAAAGAAUUCCACUUUCAAAGCUUCAACAAUUAGUUUCCUCAGUUCCCAAACGUUUAUUGAGUGUUGUUAAAAGAAAAGGUGAUGUAACACAGUGGUGAAUAUCCCCUUUCCCAACUACUUUGGCACGUGUUGCAGCCAUGAAAUUAUAAGUUCAUUAUUAUUUGCCAGAUAAAAUAAAGUUUAUGAGUUUGAACAUCAAA